UGCCAGCAGCCGCGGUAAUACGGAGGGUGCAAGCGUUGUCCGGAUUUAUUGGGUUUAAAGGGUGCGUAGGCGGCCCUAUAAGUCAGUGGUGAAAGCCCAUCGCUCAACGAUGGAACUGCCAUUGAUACUGUAGGGCUUGAGUACAGACGAGGUAGGCGGAAUUGAUGGUGUAGCGGUGAAAUGCAUAGAUACCAUCAAGAACACCGAUUGCGUAGGCAGCUUACUAGGCUGUAACUGACGCUGAGGCACGAAAGCGUGGGGAGCGAACAGGAUUAGAUACCCUGGUAGUCCACGCCGUAAACGAUGAUUACUCGAUGUUGGCGAUAAACAGUCAGCGUCUUAGCGAAAGCGUUAAGUAAUCCACCUGGGGAGUACGCCCGCAAGGGUGAAACUCAAAGGAAUUGACGGGGGCCCGCACAAG
rnacentral:rRNA from 1 species